rnacentral:rRNA from 1 species
GAACCAGUACUGUGAAGGAAAGGCGAAAAGAACCCCGGGAGGGGAGUGAAAUAGAACCUGAAACUGCAUACAUACAAACAGUAGGAGCCCGCAAGGGUGACUGCGUACCUUUUGCAUAAUGGGUCAGCGACUUACGUUUUGCGGCGAGCUUAACCGAGUAGGGGAGGCGCAGCGAAAGCGAGUUCGAACAGAGCGACAGAGUCGUAAGGCGUAGACCCGAAACCAGAUGAGCUAUCCAUGGUCAGGUUGAAGGUGUGGUAACACACACUGGAGGACCGAACCGACCGGUGUUGCAAAACCGGCGGAUGAACUGUGGAUAGGGGUGAAAGGCUUAACAAAUCUGGAGAUAGCUGGUUCUCCCCGAAAACUAUUGAGGUAGUGCCUCGUGAAUGACUGCCGGGGGUAGAGCACUGUUAUGGCUAGGGGGACAUGGCGUCUUACCAAACCAUGGCAAACUCCGAAUACUGGCAAGUUGAAUCACGGGAGACAGAGCACCGGGUGCUAACGUCCGGACUCAAAAGGGAAACAACCCAGACCGCCGUUUAAGGUCCCUAAUAACAGCUAAGUGGAAAACGAAGUGUGAAGGCUAAGACAGUCAGGAAGUUGGCUUAGAAGCAGCCAUCCUUCAAAGAAAGCGUAAUAGCUCACUGAUCGAGUCCUCAUGCGCGGAAGAUGUAACGGGGCUAAGCUGUUAACCGAAAGCGCGGAUUUCCAAGCAAUUGGAAGUGGUAGGGGAGCGUUCUGUAAGCCGACGAAGGUGAUUCGUAAGGAUUGCUGGAGGUAUCAGAAGUGCGAAUGCUGACAUGAGUAACGAUAAAGCGGGUGAAAAGCCCGCUCGCCGUAAGCCCAAGGUUUCCUGCUCUACGUUCAUCGGAGCAGGGUGAGUCGGCCCCUAAGGCCAGGCUGAGAAGCGUAGUCGAUGGGAAGCUGAUUAAUAUUUCAGCACCACUGUUGAGUGCGAAGGGGGGACGGAGUUUUGCAAGUAAUCCGGGUGUUGGAUGUCCCGGUUGGCGAGCGUAGGAGGUGAGCAGGCAAAUCCGCUCACGCAUCUCCGAGACGAAGCCUCGAGGUCCUUUAGGACUGAAGUUACCGAAUGAACUUCCAGGAAAAGCCUCUAAGCUCCAGCUCAACGGUGACCGUACCGUAAACCGACACAGGUGGGCGAGUUGAAUAUACUCAGGCGCUUGAGAGAACUCGGGAGAAGGAACUCGGCAAAUUGACACCGUAACUUCGGGAUAAGGUGUGCCUUGGUAGCGUGAAAGGAGAAACUCCCCAAGCGCGAAGAGGUCACAGAAAAUAGGGGGCUGCGACUGUUUACUAAAAACACAGCACUCUGCAAAGACGAAAGUCGACGUAUAGGGUGUGAUGCCUGCCCGGUGCCGGAAGAUUAAGUGAUGGGGUGAGAGCUCCUGAUCGAAGUCCCGGUAAACGGCGGCCGUAACUAUAACGGUCCUAAGGUAGCGAAAUUCCUUGUCGGGUAAGUUCCGACCUGCACGAAUGGCAUAACGAUGGCCCCACUGUCUCCUCCCGAGACUCAGUGAAGUUGAAAUGUUUGUGAUGAUGCAAUCUCCCCGCGGCUAGACGGAAAGACCCCAUGAACCUUUACUGCAGCUUUGCAUUGGACUUUGAACCGAUCUGUGUAGGAUAGGCGGGAGGCAAUGAAACUUUGACGCCAGUCAGAGUGGAGCCGACGUUGAAAUACCGCCCUGAUUUGUUUGAGGUUCUAACCGCAGACAGUGAGCCUGUCUCGGGACCGUGCAUGGUAGGCAGUUUGACUGGGGCGGUCUCCUCCUAAAGGGUAACGGAGGAGUACAAAGGUACGCUAGGUACGGUCGGAAAUCGUGCUGAUAGUGCAAUGGCGCAAGCGUGCUUGACUGCGAGACCGACAAGUCGAGCAGAUGCGAAAGCAGGUCAUAGUGAUCCGGUGGCACUGAAUGGAAGGGCCAUCGCUCAACGGAUAAAAGGUACUCUGGGGAUAACAGGCUGAUACCGCCCAAGAGUUCAUAUCGACGGCGGUGUUUGGCACCUCGAUGUCGGCUCAUCUCAUCCUGGGGCUGUAGCCGGUCCCAAGGGUAUGGCUGUUCGCCAUUUAAAGAGGUACGUGAGCUGGGUUUAAAACGUCGUGAGACAGUUUGGUCCCUAUCUGCCGUGGGCGUUGGAAGAUUGACGGGGGCUGCUCCUAGUACGAGAGGACCGGAGUGGACGCACCUCUGGUGUA